CCCGGGUGGCAGCAGUGAGGAAUAUUGGUCAAUGGGCUUACGCCUGAACCAGCCAAGUCGCGUGAGGGAAGACGGCCCUACGGGUUGUAAACCUCUUUUGGCAGGGAGCAAGGUGCAGGUCGGGACCUGCUGUGAGAGUACCUGAAGAAAAAGCAGCGGCUAACCCCGUGUCAGCAGCCGGGGUAAUACGGAGGAUGCGAGCGUUAACCGGAUUGAUUGGGUUUAAAGGGUGCGCAGGGUGAGGAACAAGUACGCGGGAAAAUAGCGGGGCUCAAGCCCGCUCCGCCGUGGAAACUGUGUCCAUGGCGUGCGCGAAGGGUAGGCGGAAUGCGUGGUGUAGCGGUGAAAUGCAUAGAUAUCACGCAGAACUCCGAUCGCGAAGGCAGCCUACCGGCGCGCAACUGACGCUCAUGCACGAAAGCGUGGGUAUCGAACAGGAUUAGAUACCCCUGUAGUC
rnacentral:rRNA from 1 species